CCUACGGGUUGCAGCAGUGGGGAAUUUUCCGCAAUGGGCGAAAGCCUGGCGGAGCAAUGCCGCGUGGAGGUAGAAGGCCCACGGGUCGUGAACUUCUUUUCCCGGAGAAGAAGCAGUGACGGUAUCUGGAGAAUAAGCAUCGGCUAACUCUGUGCCAGCAGCCGCGGUAAUACAGAGGAUGUAAGCGUUAUCCGGAAUGAUUGGGCGUAAAGCGUCUGUGGGUGGCUUUUUAAGUCCGCCGUCAAAUCCCAGGGCUCAACCCUGGACAGGCGGUGGAAACUACCAAGCUGGAGUACGGUAGGGGCAGAGGGAAUUUCCGGUGGAGCGGUGAAAUGCGUAGAGAUCGGAAAGAACCCCAACGGCGAAAGCACUCUGCUGGGCCGACACUGACACUGAGAGACGAAAGCUAGGGGAGCGAAUGGGAUUAGAUACCCUCGUAGUC
rnacentral:rRNA from 1 species